UGAAUACUCAAAAUCCUUAGUCACUACUUUCAUUAAUACUAUUGACUGGAUGAAGAAGAGGCCUAAAUGACUCCAAAAGGGCCACUCAAACAUCAGUUUCAGAAAAUAUAGGAGAAGACAAUUGGAUGAAACAUUUCACUUUCCAUUGCACUGAAAAAGGUGAAAAAUGAAGGAAGAGAAAAUGAGAGAGGAAAGUAGUACAUGAGACA
rnacentral:misc_RNA from 1 species